rnacentral:rRNA from 1 species
GACGAACGCUGGCGGCGUGCUUAAUACAUGCAAGUCGAACGGUAAGGCCCUGUGGGUGGUACACGAGUGGUGACCGGGUGAGUAACAGGAAAGUAACCAUCCCACAACUAUAGGACAAGGCUAGGAAACUGGUACUAGUACUGGAUAUGUGUACUUUCUGCAAGGGGGGGGUUCGAAAGCUCCGGCGGGUGUGGAUGGACUGGCGGCCUAUCGGCUUGUUGGUGUGGUAGUGGCGUACCAAGGCGGCGGCGGGAGGCCGCCCUGUGGGGGUGACCGGCCAUACUGGGUCUGAGAGACGGCAGCGGUUGCUACGGGAGGCAGAAGGGGGGAAUAUUGCCCGAUCGGCGCAAGGCUGAUGCAGCAAGGCCGCGUGCGGGAUGACUGCCUUAGGGUUGUAAAACGCUUUCAGCAGGGACGAAGCAUUUUGUGACGGUACCUGCAGAAGAAGCACCGGCUAACUACGUG